GACGGAGGAGGCAAGCGUUAUCCGGAUUUACUGGGCGUAAAGCGUGCGCAGGCGGUCCGCUAAGACAGGUGUGAAAUCCCUGGGCUCAACCUAGGAAUUGCGCUUGUGACUGGCGGGCUAGAGUACGGUAGAGGGGGGUGGAAUUCCCGGUGUAGCAGUGAAAUGCGUAGAGAUCAGGAGGAACACCGAUGGCGAAGGCAGCCCCCUGGGCCUGUACUGACGCUCAGGCAAGAAAGCGUGGGGAGCAAACAGG
rnacentral:rRNA from 1 species